AGAAGGGCAUGCAGCGUGCACAACAUGUUGUAUAGCAUGCAGAUGCAAACUCGUGUGCGACACUCCCGCAAAGGCAAGCCGCACAAGCCAGCAGCUUGCCAUGCAUGUGCAGGCUACACGAGAAAAAACAACACACACGAGCACCACAAGCGAGUGCAUAAGACAGGUCACAUGCGUAUAGCAAGUGAGAGGAAAUCGUGCAUGCACAGAGGCAUUGUGUGCUCGCAGAGAAGGAACACAUACACAGCAGUGCAAGAGAA
rnacentral:lncRNA from 1 species